UACGUAGGGGGCAAGCGUUGUCCGGAUUUAUUGGGCGUAAAGAGCGUGUAGGCGGCCAGACAGGUCAGCUGUGAAAACUCGAGGCUCAACCUCGAGACGUCGGUUGAAACCGUCUGGCUAGAGUCCGGAAGAGGAGAGUGGAAUUCCCGGUGAUAGCGGUGAAAUGACGCAGAUAUCGGGAAGAACACCCGUGGCGAAGGCGGCUCUCUGGGACGGUACUGACGCAUGAGACGGCG
rnacentral:rRNA from 1 species